GUAAAUUUAAUGAGAAGUAUAUAAUAUAUGUUUAGUGGACCAACAUAUUUAUCUAGAAACAUUAAGAAGCAUUAUAAUGAUGACACAUGCAAUAGCUAAAAUAUUGUAAUACUUAUAAGGUCCAACUGGACCCAGUCCUACAAACAAGAAACAGAAGGCUCAACAAACGAACAACACUAUACAAAACCACUUUGAACCGUAAGCCCAAAAUGAAAAUCCGUUGAAGAAGAAACUGACAGCUGCCCACCACGUGAACAGACGUCAUGCAUCUUAAAACACGUGUCAAGGCAAGAGUCAGCCAUCCUCCAUCGGCGCUACAGAGGAGAGGCGACAUAUCUCUGCAUCAGCGGCGCCGGAGCCGGUAAUGAAUGACACUCAACAGAGCCAUCUUCACGAUUGAUCGAGUCGCUCACUGGACCCACAUUUUUAACAGAUUCAAUCAUCCCUCAACCAUUGAUUUUCUUGCAUGCAAAUCAGACAUAUUUUAAGAUCUGAGUAAGCCCGAAGAUGAAGCGGCUCGUGACGAGGAAGGAAUAGACAGAGGAGUCCAAGGAAGGAGAGUCGAUUGCGAAGGAAGAGAAAAGAAACGUCGAUCAACAAAAUCGGGAUAACCUCGGUGAAAAACCGUCGUCAACACCAAAGAAGCGUGAUGCAGAAUCAAAAGCCUCCGAAGCGGAGCUGUGGAAGCCACCGAAACCCAGAGUCAUGAGCCCGAAACUCGGGAGGCAAGCCAGAAAAGACCGGAAAAGACGGGCGAAAAAAACACAACUGCUUCUUCAUCUCCCCUGUGAAAGAUUAAGUGAUGCAACAGAGGUGAGAGAGAAAGCGAUUUCUAAACACUUCUUUUUUAUCUAUAUUGGAGUUUUCUUCACACAUAUAUAAGAAACCAAAUAAAACAACAAAAUCGGUGUAUUCUUUUACCGUGCUACCCUCACAUUUUGCAUAGCACUUAUAGUAAAAUUAAAGUAAUAUAAAAAAUAUACUAUCUAACUGCUUUCUAAUGUUAUUUAUGUGAUGUUGUUUUCUAAUUUCUUUUUCAAAAGUGACUUCAUGAUCAGUAUAAUUUGGCCAAUAAAGCUAUGUUUUGAAAUAAUACACUUACAUAUAGACUAUUGUCUAAAGAGAACCUGUGGUUAUGUAACCUUUUCUGGUGGCAUCUCCAUUUAUGAUUUUCCACCACUCUUGUCCAUUAAAAAUUAUAACUAUUUAUAUUUAGUCCUUAUUUAUACAUAUAUUAAGUAUAUGUAUAUAUUGUAUACAUGUGUAGGAGGAUCUUUUUGCCAGUGGUGCUUUAGGGAAUUUAUUAAGACAAUGCUAGCAAGUCUCAGAAUAUGGUAUGCUACAAGUGAAUAUUUGCGACAGGAAAUGAAUCCUAAUUUUAGGAUGACGGACCACAUUACGUUCGUUAGUGGGGAUCACUGUUCCCAUAACUUUUCAUUUUGUAUUCUCAUUUUCAUUUUUUUAUUUCUUUCCUUUUUACCUUUAUUUUCCACCAUUUUAUUCCGUUAAAUACCAACGAAAACCUACAUACCACAAUGAGAAGAAAAUGAUUUCCUAAUUCCAGUGGUGAUGCCAUUAGUUCGGCGAUUGACAGAAGAAUUAGACUACGCUCCCAAUCUUUAUUAUUUGUAUUAGAAUCGUACUUGAAUUUAACAUCUCGAGUAGAUUUUGCGUUGUGUAUAGAAAAUUCAAUAAAUUUCUCUAGAAACAUAAUAGUUAUAUAUUAUUUUGAUGUAGGAAAUAGAGAGAUAUAGUCUUUCCGAUUUAUUAAAGCAGAAGUUCUUCAUCUAGAAGGUGAGAAAUGACAAACCUUUUAAUGGAAAAGUCAUAUCCCCGACUGAUAUUUCCAAUAUGAAUUUCUUGAAACAGAAUAUUGGAGAAAAGCUAACGAAAAGAAGAAGAGAUAGAUGAUCAUGAGGAACUUCCUACUAUAGAUUACCGGACCUACAUCAAGAAAGCAUAGACAGCAAGCAGCACCUUGAGUCAAAGUAGACAGGAGGAAGCCCUAGACCUUGUCCCUGAAACAAGCAGGCUCUGAACGUGCUGCCACCGAAGGAAGAAAACGUGGUUUACAAGGCCAACGACUCUCCACUUCGCACACGCACCACAACGGAGAACCCGUAACGGACCUACACGAUUUCAAACCAAAAUCAACUCCUAGAAGCCCCUGAGAAAUAGACUGUCCGGUCUAACAAGGAACCCCGCGGAGAACACCAGAACAAGCGGCGAAACACCGCAACACCACCGCCUGGAGAAACCGAGAAACGCCUUCAACCAAGAGAGCCAUCUCAUCCAAGCCUAGAAUCGAGGCAGAAGAGGCAGAUGAAAGAGACAGAUCUACUUCCGGAAUCUAGAUCUGACACCAGAUCGAGACUUCCACGACCACGCCCGACCGAAGGAACCUCAUAUCCACUCCUCCACCAUGCUUCUCCGGAGUUUCGAGAGAGACAGUGCCAGAUCUAAACCCGUGGUGGUGCAAACUCCUAGAACACCAAGAAAGGAAGCAAGGGAAAGGAGGGAGAGGAGAGGCGAAGAGAGAGGAGAAGCAACAAGGGGCGAGGGCGGACCGGAGCCGAGGAGGCGCCAGCCACCCAGCGAGAUCUGAGAUUAGUGUUCUUCUGUUUCAGAGAGGUUUUUAAGAGAGCAAAAGGUUUCUUUCCUUGUUUAAAUUCAACUCCUAUAUAUUUUCUUUUACACACCGACGG
rnacentral:lncRNA from 1 species